GGGGAUUUAGCUCAGUGGUAGAGCGCUUGCCUAGCAAGUGCAAGGCCCUGGGUUCUCAAGGCCCUGGGUUCGGUCCCCAGCUCCG
rnacentral:tRNA from 1 species